UCUCAUAUGGUGCAGUGGUUUAGCAUAUUAGUCUUUCACGGUAGUUAAAGACACUAAAGACCCGGGUUCGAACCCCGGUAUGAGAA
rfam:Trichosporon oleaginosus strain IBC0246 unplaced genomic scaffold CC85scaffold_30, whole genome shotgun sequence.